UACGGGGGGGGUAAGCGUUGUUCGGAAUUACUGGGCGUAAAGGGCUCGUAGGCGGCCAACUAAGUCGGACGUGAAAUCCCUCAGCUUAACUGGGGAACUGCGUCCGAUACUGGAUGGCUUGGAUUGGGAGAGGGAUGCGGAAUUCCAGGUGUAGCGGUGAAAUGCGUAGAUAUCUGGAGGAACACCGGUGGCGAAGGCGGCAUCCUGGACCAAUAUUGACGCUGAGGAGCGAAAGCCAGGGGAGCAAACGGG
rnacentral:rRNA from 1 species